rnacentral:piRNA from 1 species
UAGAAAUUAUACUGAGGUAGAAGGUC